AACAGUUUGGCCGAGUGGUCUAAGGCGCCAGAUUUAGGCUCUGGUCCGAAAGGGCGUGUGUUCAAAUCCUACAGCUGUCA
rfam:Picea glauca, whole genome shotgun sequence.